rnacentral:rRNA from 1 species
AGAUUGAACGCUGGCGGCAGGCCUAACACAUGCAAGUCGAGCGGUAGAGAGGUGCUUGCAUCUCUUGAGAGCGGCGGACGGGUGAGUAAUGCCUAGGAAUCCGCCUAGUGGUGGGGGAUAACGUUCGGAAACGGACGCUAAUACCGCAUACGUCCUACGGGAGAAAGCGGGGGACCUUCGGGCCUCGCGCCAUUAGAUGAGCCUAGGUCGGAUUAGCUAGUCGGUGAGGUAAUGGCUCACCAAGGCGACGAUCCGUAACUGGUCUGAGAGGAUGAUCAGUCACACUGGAACUGAGACACGGCCCAGACUCCUACGGGAGGCAGCAGUGGGGAAUAUUGGACAAUGGGCGAAAGCCUGAUCCAGCCAUGCCGCGUGUGUGAAGAAGGUCUUCGGAUUGUAAAGCACUUUAAGUUGGAGGAAGGUUGUAACCUAAUACGUUGCAACUUUGACGUUACCGACAGAAUAAGCACGGCUAACUUCGCGCCAGCAGCCG